AAUCAACGCUGGCGGCGUGCCUAACACAUGCAAGUCGAACGCGAAAGUCCCGCAAGGGAUUAGUAGAGUGGCAAACGGGUGAGUAACGCGUGGGUGACCUGCCUUCGAGCGGGGGAUAACGUCCCGAAAGGGACGCUAAUACCGCAUAACAUCCUGCCUUUUAAGUAGGUGGUGAUCAAAGCCGGGGAUUCGCAAGAACCUGGCACUUGAAGAGGGGCCCGCGCCUGAUUAGCUAGUUGGGGGGUAAUGGCCUACCAAGGCAACGAUCAGUAUCCGGCCUGAGAGGGCGGACGGACACACUGGGACUGAGACACGGCCCAGACUCCUACGGGAGGCAGCAGUGGGGAAUUGUUCGCAAUGGGCGCAAGCCUGACGACGCAACGCCGCGUGGAGG
rnacentral:rRNA from 1 species